CCUACGGGAGGCAGCAGUGAGGAAUAUUGGUCAAUGGGCGCGAGCCUGAACCAGCCAAGUCGCGUGAGGGAAGACGGUCCUAUGGAUUGUAAACCUCUUUUGCCGGGGAGCAAGCUGGGUCACGUGUGACCCAGCUGAGAGUACCCGGAGAAAAAGCAUCGGCUAACUCCGUGCCAGCAGCCGCGGUAAUACGGAGGAUGCGAGCGUUAUCCGGAUUUAUUGGGUUAAAAGGGUGCGCAGGCGGAUUUUUAAGUCAGCGGUCAAAUCGUGGGGCUCAACCCCAUCCAGCCGUUGAAACUGGGGAUCUAGAGUGUGCGAGAGGUAUGCGGAAUGCGUGGUGUAGCGGUGAAAUGCAUAGAGAUCACGCAGAACCCCGAUUGCGAAGGCAGCAUACCGGUGCACAACUGACGCUCAGGCACGAAAGCGUGGGUAUCGAACAGGAUUAGAUACCCGAGUAGUC
rnacentral:rRNA from 1 species